ACUUCGCUUAGAAAAUCACCGACCGACCCCCUCCAACCAGUUGCUCCAUGAUCGUUUGCCACCCUUCCAUCGCCCGCGCCUGCUCCCUACAAUGUCACGUGAAAAGCCGGAGAUUCCAGACACCCGCUGCUUCUUCAGUGUUGCUUUUGAGUUCUAGUGGAGAGGCGGUCUUUCUACUUUUUCUUGUCUUUCUUUAAUAAUGAAAAAAGAGAUAAAUUAAUUGCCGUUCAUAAAGUGUGAGAAAGAGAUGUUAUAGAAAUUUGGAAGAGGAGUUGAAAAAAUUGUUUUGAUUUUUUUUUGUUCUUUUUUUUUCGUUUUAGUUGUGUUGUGAAAAGAUUGUUUUAUUUUGUUGCCUUUUGAUUGGCUUUGGGAUUAAAAAAAACUUUUUUUGUUUGUUUUUUUGGUGAUUUUUGAAUUUGUAAUUCGACAAGUGCUGAGAUCUGUAUAGGAAUUGAAAGAACUUCUUCAGAAUAGAAUGACAUAAUGAACUUUAAAGCUAAGCGGUCACACUAUCUUUGAUGUUCGAAGUAAUAUGCUAAAUCGAGUCGGUAAGUG